AUGGCUAAUCAAAUGUCAAAUUUUCACAGCAAGAAUUUUCCAGAAGGGGAACAGGGCUCUGUCCAGGUGUAUGUUACUCAUAUUUGCAGAUUCAGUGCUGAUGAGACAGUUUCUGGAGACCCAGGACAAACAAUGCUGGCUGGAAGAGCCAACCCUGGCCAGUCAGCCCCUUGUUUGGCAGCACUUCCAGGUGCUACAGAAGAACUGGUGCAGCAAGGACGAUUGAUUCGUGUGGGUCAAAGUAGGGGUGUUGAUGUUCUUCCGGAAUGUGCAGCAGUUGCUGAUAAUAUUGGCUGACACUGAAGAUCCUGCCAAUUUCUUUAAUCUUCCUUACUGCUGGUAGACUUGAAUGGUCCAAAAGGCCAUGUAUACCAGCCUGGAGUGCUACCCCGAAACCACUGGAUCUUGAACUCCCUGCCACUCUGAACGGCAAUGCACAAAGCAGGUGAUCUUAUUUAUACUGGCAACAUAAGUUCUUGGUAACAGGGGCAGAGCAGUAUGGUUUGGUGCCUAACACAGGAAGUUAAAAAAUAAAAAUAAUAAAAGGAAAGAAAGGGGGGAAAAAAUGCUCCUAUCAGUGUGGAAUGGGCAAGUAGAACCCACCAAAAAGGUAAAAUGUGAAACUAGCAGGAAGAACUGUCUCCAAUUGCAUGAGAAGAACAUGCCAACAAAAGACAAUUUUUCAAAGAUAAUUGUUAAGAAACACAUUGCCAAGAACUUUAAAAAUCAAGUACAAGCCAGGCAUGGUGGCAUGUGCCUGUGGUCCCAGCUACUUGAGAGACUGAGGCAGGAGGAUGGCUUAAGCCCAGAGUUUAACACUGUAGUGUGCGAUGAUCAUGCCUGUGAAUAGUCACUGCACUCCAGCCUGGGUGACAUAGCAAGACCCCACCUGUGAAAAAAAAAAAAAAAAAAAUCAUGUGCAGACAUUUGUUUUCCAGUUUGCUAGACACCAGCACUUGAAGAAAUAUCUCUUUUAGGAUGAAGAGAUGUUUUUCCUAAAGUUGUAUGAAAC
rnacentral:lncRNA from 1 species